UACGUAGGGUGCAAGCGUUAUCCGGAAUUAUUGGGCGUAAAGAGCUCGUAGGCGGUUUGUCGCGUCUGCUGUGAAAACCCGAGGCUCAACCUCGGGCCUGCAGUGGGUACGGGCAGACUAGAGUGCGGUAGGGGAGAUGGGAAUUCCUGGUGUAGCGGUGGAAUGCGCAGAUAUCAGGAGGAACACCGAUGGCGAAGGCAGAUCUCUGGGCCGUAACUGACGCUGAGGAGCGAAAGCGUGGGGAGCGAACAGG
rnacentral:rRNA from 1 species